UCGGGAAUUUUGGGCAAUGGACGAAAGUCUGAUCGAGCGACGCCGCGUGUACGAUGAAGUUUUUCGGAAUGUAAAGUACUUUUAUGAGGGAAGAACGUUGACGGUACCUCAUGAAUAAGUGGUUGCUAACUCUGUGCCAGCAGCAGCGGUAAUACAGAGACCACAAGCGUUAUCCGGAAUUAUUGGGCGUAAAGGGUGAGUAGGUGGUAUUGUUAGUCGGGUUUGAAAGAUCGUGGGCUCAACCCAUGAUAUGGACCCGAAACGGCAAAACUAGAAUAUGUAAGAGGUUAGUGGAACUAUAUGUGUAGGGGUAAAAUCCGUUGAUAUAUAUGGGAACACCUAAAGCGAAGGCAGCUAACUGGUACAUUAUUGACACUGAAUCACGAAAGCGUGGGUAGCGAUACGGAUUAGAUACCCAUGUAGUCCCUGAGCGGGCUGGCAAGGCGCAU
rnacentral:rRNA from 1 species